rnacentral:misc_RNA from 1 species
UCGAGUGCGGCCCCCCCGUAAAAAAGGGGGGCACCUCCCGUCCUUUGCUAGGGUCCCUCUUUUUUUGGGGGCUUUUUCAAAAACCUUCUGCUUCGGCGGGGUUACCCCUGCCGGAACACCCUCAAAAAUUCUUUUAAUUGUUCUGUCCGAGAACUUUUUAAAAUUGACAUAA